rnacentral:rRNA from 1 species
CUACGGGUCGCUGCAGUUAGGAAUAAUCUGCAAUGCGCGCAAGCGUGACAGUUUGAGCUAGAGUGCUUGUCCAAUUGGGCAAGCUUUUGUUAAAUGUAAAAAGUUUAACGAAUAAGGACUGGGUAAGACUAGUGCCAGCCGCCGCGGUAAUACUAGCGGUCCAAGUCGCAGCCAUUUUUAUUGGGUCUAAAACAUCCGUAGCUUGCCAAAUAAGUUCCUAGUGAAAUCCUAAUUCUCAAAAUUGGGGAGUGCUAGGAGUACUACUUGGCUAGAGACUGGAAGACGUAAAGAGUACGUUUGAAGUAAUGGUAAAAUAUGUUAAUCUCAAGCGGACUUACAAGAGCGAAGGCACUUUACGAGGACAGUUCUGACAGUAAGGGAUGAAGGCUAGGGGCGCAAAACGGAUUAGAUACCCCUGUAGUC